GGGGACAGAAAAAACAUCCGCCGGAGGCCCGGCCGGGCGGCGCUCCAGCAGUGCCCAGCAGGCAGGUGCGCGAGGCGAGGAAGUGAGCGCAUUCCGGCCCCCCGGCCGCCGGCCCUCCGGAACCUAGCAGGUGUUUGAGGACAAUGACUGACUCAUCUACUCAUAUGGAGGUCUUGCAGUCAUACAUAUCACACUUGUCUUUAGAGCCCUAGUCUCAUCCGACUGCACUUUUAAUUGCUGGUUCUUUCGCUCAGAAGAUGACCUUGCCUCCUCUUUUUGGAAUGCAGGAAUCCAUAGAAUUACCCAUGGACUGUCUUUUCACAAAACCAGUAUUUCUUGCCCUCAGGGUAUGGUCCAGUUCAACUUUCCAAAUACAUACAUAGACAGGUCAGAUCAGUCAAGCAGAGAGAAGACUGGAAGAUAGGACAAAAUCCCUUUUUACUAGCCGUUGGGAGCUGGAAUUGAAAUUACCAUCCCUCUGUGUUGAAGAAGUCCUAAGGCUGCUAUUUCUACUGGACUUGGGGCAAAAGAUGUUGUCGGGGUCUUGCCUUUGACAUGGAUUCCAGCUACAUGCUCCUCAAAGGUAAGGGCUGUAUUAUUCACCUUUUCUUGUAUUCACCCUUACAGCUGUGCAAGUCAGCCAGUGUUCAAUAAAGAAAUAUCAUACCUAAGA